rnacentral:lncRNA from 1 species
GUCCAGGGAGAAGCUGCAGUGUGGCGGAGCACUGCUGGGCAGCAUUGUGCCGGAAGGGUGUCCGGGAGAACUGGUGCACGCCGCAGAAUCAGGGGUCAGGAAGGCAGAGCUGGUUUGCAGAAAGCAAGACUGGACACAAAGAAAACUCCAAAUAAACAGUGGUGGUGCAGAGGACAUGGUGACUUUGAAAGGUAGCAGGACAUGCAGCAAGCAGCUGGGAGCAGAGGGCUGGAGCUCAGAAGAGAUGACCACAGAAGGAAGACCUCUGGAGCUCUGCUGCUCACCUACAGACACCCAAGGAUGACAGCGGAAUCUCUCCAUUCUCACUAUAAAGGUCUGAUGGGCUGCGGCUGUGCUAUGUUGCAGUCAAGGAAGGAGAAAGAUGAUUGGUUCAACUCAGCUAGUGUUUCUCGACACAGCCAAAGUGAGCACUUACAGACUUCCCUCCCUUUUUCAGAAGGAAUCCUGUUGCAGCGGCCUUGUGACCUACAGAUCUUUACCUCCCUCCACUCUCUUGCUCCCACGUCUCAGUGGUCCCCUGGUCCCUGGCCUAAAGACCCUCACCAGCCUUGAACCUCAUCCCCUGCACUGGCUCCUUAAACUCAGCCACAGCCCCCAUUCCCAUUCUGAAAAUAUCACACUCCCAACUUCCCUCAAGUUUCUGCCUCAGGGCCCUUGCCUAUCCUGUUUCCUCAGCCCCAGAGAAUCUCUUCCCAGCUCUCUGCUGGCUCCCCUUCCCCAUCCUGCUCAGAAAGACAACCUUUGGAAGUCCCAUUUGUCCCAGCUAUUCCCCUGCUCGGUAUCUUCCCCAAAGAAUUAAAAGAAUCAUACCACAGUGAGAUAUGUGCACCCAUGUUCAUAGGAGCACAGUUUGUGAUAGCUAAAGCUUGGAAACAGCCCAAGUGCCCAUCAACUGGAGACUGGAUAAAGAAAAUGUGUUUUUUUAAUAAAAUGGAGUACUACUCAGCCAUAAAAAAUGAGAAAGUAGAGACAUUUAUAGCUAA